AACUUUCAACAAUGGAUCUCUUGGUUCUGGCAUCGAUGAAGAACGCAGCGAAAUGCGAUAAGUAGUGUGAAUUGCAGAAUUUAGUGAAUCAUCGAAUUUUUGAACGCAUAUUGCGCCCUUUGGUAUUCCAUUGGGCAUGCCUGUUCGAGCGUCAU
rnacentral:rRNA from 1 species